ACGAACGCUGGCGGCGUGCUUAACACAUGCGAGUCGAACGGAAAGGCCCUGCUUUUGUGGGGUGCUCGAGUGGCGAACGGGUGAGUAACACGUGAGUAACCUGCCCUUGACUUUGGGAUAACUUCAGGAAACUGGGGCUAAUACCGGAUAGGAGCUCCUGCUGCAUGGUGGGGGUUGGAAAGUUUCGGCGGUUGGGGAUGGACUCGCGGCUUAUCAGCUUGUUGGUGGGGUAGUGGCUUACCAAGGCUUUGACGGGUAGCCGGCCUGAGAGGGUGACCGGCCACAUUGGGACUGAGAUACGGCCCAGACUCCUACGGGAGGCAGCAGUGGGGAAUAUUGCACAAUGGGCGGAAGCCUGAUGCAGCAACGCCGCGUGCGGGAUGACGGCCUUCGGGUUGUAAACCGCUUUCGCCUGUGACGAAGCGUGAGUGACGGUAAUGGGUAAAGAAGCACCGGCUAACUACGUG
rnacentral:rRNA from 1 species